rnacentral:tRNA from 1 species
UUCCUGAUGGUCCAGUGAUUAAGACUCUGCACUUGCAGUGCAGUGGACAUGGGUUCAGUCCCUGGUCAGGGAA